GAAGGAGGGGCGGUCCCCGUCUGACUCAAGAGAGGCUACAUAAGGAACUGCUGGGCGCGUGGUGCGUUCUUUUGCGUCGGAACUUGAGAUCGUUCGUGUGUGGCGGGAACAAUGGCUGUCGGUGUAACGGAGCUGUUACGUGAAGAUGCUAAGCAUCCUUGGGGAUGAUGAAUACUAAUGACGCUAUGGAUGUCACUGAUUAGCAGCUUCACUUUGAAUGAGAGGUCGCUGUCUGCCCAUUGUAAGAGGCCAGUGUCUGUGUCGUUCCCAAGCCGUAACCAUUUCUGGCUAGUGCUACAAGAUUUACUUGUCUUUUGUAUGGAAAACUGGUGGUCAGGAAAAGCUCUUCAUUUUAUGGACAUGGAAAGAAAACGUACAGAUCAAGAUGGAUUAUAUUUAUUCUUAAUUUUGCAAAUAGAUUCUGAACCAACAUAAAAUCUAGAUUAAUGUGUCCAUAGGCUUCAAGCCUAUGGUUUCUUUUUAAUCGUGUCACUGCCCUAGAGAGUCACAACCUAUUAACCAGUAGAUUACUUUUUAGAUCUAUUUCUAGGAUUACAUAGCAAAUGAAGUAUUUGUAAUAGAAAUUUUCAUUAACUAGCCUUAUAAUUAAAUUAUUCUGAAUGAUUGUCUUA